CAUACCGCGUGUGUGAAGAAGGCCUUCGGGUUGUAAAGCACUUUAAGCAGGGAGAAAAAGUUAUAAGUUAAUACCUUAUAACCCUGAUGUUACCUGCAGAAUAAGCACCGGCUAAUUCCGUGCCAGCAGCCGCGGUAAUACGGAAGGUGCAAGCGUUAAUCGGAAUUACUGGGCGUAAAGCGCGCGUAGGUGGUUUGUUAAGUUGGAUGUGAAAGCCCUGGGCUCAACCUAGGAACUGCAUCCAAAACUAACUCACUAGAGUACGAUAGAGGGAGGUAGAAUUCAUAGUGUAGCGGUGGAAUGCGUAGAUAUUAUGAAGAAUACCAGUGGCGAAGGCGGCCUCCUGGAUCUGUACUGACACUGAGGUGCGAAAGCGUGGGUAGCGAACAGGAUUAGAUACCCUGGUAGUCCACGCCGUAAACGAUGACAACUAGCUGUUGGGAGACUAUGUCUUUCAGUGGCGCAGCUAACGCUUUAAGUUGUCCGCCUGGGGAGUACGGCCGCAAGGCUAAAACUCAAAUGAAUUGACGGGGACCCGCACAAGCGGUGGAGUAUGUGGUUUAAUUCGAUGCAACGCGAAGAACCUUACCUACUCUUGACAUCGUGCGAACUUGGCAGAGAUGCCUUGGUGCCUUCGGGAGCGCACAGACAGGUGCUGCAUGGCUGUCGUCAGCUCGUGUUGUGAAAUGUUGGGUUAAGUCCCGUAACGAGCGCAACCCCUAUCCUUAUUUGCCAGCGAUUCGGUCGGGAACUCUAAGGAGACUGCCGGUGACAAACCGGAGGAAGGUGGGGAUGACGUCAAGUCAUCAUGGCCCUUACGAGUAGGGCUACACACGUGCUACAAUGGCAGGUACAAAGGGUUGCAAGACGGCGACGUGGARCUAAUCCCAUAAAGCCUGCCUCAGUCCGGAUCGGARUCUGCAACUCGACUCCGUGAAGUCGGAUCGCUAGUAAUCSSGGAUCASCAUGCCSSGGKGA
rnacentral:rRNA from 1 species